GGAAGGGCCAUCGCUCAACGGAUAAAAGGUACUCUGGGGAUAACAGGCUGAUUCCUCCCAAGAGUUCAUAUCGACGGGGGAGUUUGGCACCUCGAUGUCGGCUCAUCACAUCCUGGGGCUGAAGCCGGUCCCAAGGGUAUGGCUGUUCGCCAUUUAAAGUGGUACGCGAGCUGGGUUUAGAACGUCGUGAGACAGUUCGGUCCCUAUCUGCCGUGGACGUUGGAGAUUUGAGGAAAGCUGCUCCUAGUACGAGAGGACCGGAGUGGACGAACCGCUGGUGUUCGGGUUGUGUCGCCAGACGCAUUGCCCGGUAGCUAUGUUCGGAUAGGAUAACCGCUGAAAGCAUCUAAGCGGGAAGCCCCUUUCAAGAUGAGAUCUCACUGGAGCUUCGAGCUCCCUGUAGGGCCCUUGAAGACUACAAGGUUGAUAGGCUAGGUGUGGAAGCGUUGUAAGGCGUUGAGCUAACUAGUACUAAUUGCCCGUGAGGCUUGACC
rnacentral:rRNA from 1 species